AAAUAGAACUUUGCAGAGAGAGUUAACAGGGCGUGAAACCGUUAAUUGGCAAACGAAUCGGAGCCACGAAGUCGUUUCGCUGAUUAGUUGGGCCAAGUUCAGUCCAAGAUCGCAAGAUUUUGGGUGUAUUCUUGUAGUCCAACCUAACAUUGUAAACGUACACUGCAACCAGUUAGACGAUUGGCGAUGGGCCCAGCUGGUUGGGGAGCAAUCCCCGGCUAGCGCAGCUAUUGUCCGUUUGAGCCAGCAGCAGCUUGGUGCGCCUCGGCGUAUUCGAGUUGUUGGGCGCAGGCGGGAGAACUAUCGCCAAACACUGACUGGCAAAAUAAAAAUCACUCGCAGAGUGUUUGAAUAGAACGCGGCCGUCCACAUGGGUGUCCACAUGCUUGACCGUUUGGCUUAAGCGCAGCAUUUUUAAAUUCAAACUUGCUUGCUACCAGUGGGGCAACUCCUGGUGCUUGUAUUGCUUUGUCUAAUUGGGUGUUGACUUGGUUAGGCGUCGUUCGAGCAUGCAACGAUCGGGCGCCUAUGUGAGGUGGUUCGCAAUCAUUGGCAGUGAGUAGGUCGGCUUUCCGAACGA
rnacentral:rRNA from 1 species